UUUAUGGAGAGUUUGAUCCUGGCUCAGAGUGAACGCUGGCGGCGUGCCUAAUACAUGCAAGUCGAACGAUGAAGCCUAGCUUGCUAGGUGGAUUAGUGGCGCACGGGUGAGUAACGCAUAGAUGACAUGCCCUUUAGUUUGGGAUAGCCACUAGAAAUGGUGAUUAAUACCAAAUAUUACCCUACGGGGGAAAGAUUUAUCGCUAAAGGAUUGGUCUAUGUCCUAUCAGCUUGUUGGUGAGGUAAAGGCUCACCAAGGCAAUGACGGGUAUCCGGCCUGAGAGGGUGAACGGACACACUGGAACUGAGACACGGUCCAGACUCCUACGGGAGGCAGCAGUAGGGAAUAUUGCUCAAUGGGCGCAAGCCUGAAGCAGCAACGCCGCGUGGAGGAUGAAGGUUUUAGGAUUGUAAACUCCUUUUGUGAGAGAAGAUAAUGACGGUAUCUCACGAAUAAGCACCGGCUAACUCCGUGCCAGCAGCCGCGGUAAUACGGAGGGUGCAAGCGUUACUCGGAAUCACUGGGCGUAAAGAGUGCGUAGGCGGGGUUGUAAGUCAGGUGUGAAAUCCUAUGGCUUAACCAUAGAACUGCAUUUGAAACUACAACCCUAGAGUGUGGGAGAGGUAGGUGGAAUUCUUGGUGUAGGGGUAAAAUCCGUAGAGAUCAAGAGGAAUACUCAUUGCGAAGGCGACCUGCUGGAACAAUACUGACGCUGAUUGCACGAAAGCGUGGGGAGCAAACAGGAUUAGAUACCCUGGUAGUCCACGCCCUAAACGAUGGAUGCUAGUUGUUGGGGGGCUUUGUCCUCCCAGUAAUGCAGCUAACGCCUUAAGCAUCCCGCCUGGGGAGUACGGUCGCAAGAUUAAAACUCAAAGGAAUAGACGGGGACCCGCACAAGCGGUGGAGCAUGUGGUUUAAUUCGAAGAUACACGAAGAACCUUACCUAGGCUUGACAUUGAAGGAAUCUGCUAGAAAUAGCGGAGUGUCUAGCUUGCUAGACCCUGAAAACAGGUGCUGCACGGCUGUCGUCAGCUCGUGUCGUGAGAUGUUGGGUUAAGUCCCGCAACGAGCGCAACCCUCUUUCUUAGUUGCUAACAGGUUACGCUGAGCUCUCUAAGAAGACUGCCUGCGUAAGCAGGAGGAAGGUGAGGACGACGUCAAGUCAUCAUGGCCCUUACGCCUAGGGCUACACACGUGCUACAAUGGGGCGCACAAAGAGAUGCAAUGCUGCGAAGCUGAGCCAAUCUUCAAAACGCCUCUCAGUUCGGAUUGUAGGCUGCAACUCGCCUGCAUGAAGCUGGAAUCGCUAGUAAUCGCAAAUCAGCCAUGUUGCGGUGAAUACGUUCCCGGGUCUUGUACUCACCGCCCGUCACACCAUGGGAGUUGUGUUUGCCUUAAGUCAGGAUGCUAAAGCAGCUACUGCCCACGGCACACACAGCGACUGGGGUGAAGUCGUAACAAGGUAACCGUAGGUGAACCUGCGGUUGGAUCACCUCCUUUCUUAGAGAAACCCUUUAAGGCUUUGUUGUCUAAAGGCAGGCUCAAGGCUCUCUUGCUUAGGUGUUAAAACACAAAAAACUCCACUGAACUUUUCAAUCCCUUUUGAAUUGUUUGCUUUAAAUUCCCCUCUUUCUCUGUGUGUGAGUUCUUUAUGAAAUGUAAUUUAAUGGCUACAAUAUGGGGGUUUGAUGCCUAGCGAUGUAAGCAAUAAUAGUUCAUGUCCUAUUUAAAAUCCCCGCCUACCAAAGGGGGCUAGAAACAGCAAGAUGAAAUCUAUAAAAUUCUAUAAAACUAUGCAAAUUUUUUAUAUAAUUAUCACCGCCAAAAACACCCCAAAAUUUGCUAAAAUAACCGCAAUGUUUGCCCUAAGCCACAAGAUUGAAUUACAACCCAACAACAAAGCAAAGACCCACUUUAAAAAGGCGUUUGGGUGUGCUAGACUUGCCUAUAAUUGGGGACUAGCCAAGUGGAAGGAAACUACGAAAAGGGCAUAAAAUCUAACCNAGGUGAGGACGACGUCAAGUCAUCAUGGCCCUUACGCCUAGGGCUACACACGUGCUACAAUGGGGCGCACAAAGAGAUGCAAUGCUGCGAAGCUGAGCCAAUCUUCAAAACGCCUCUCAGUUCGGAUUGUAGGCUGCAACUCGCCUGCAUGAAGCUGGAAUCGCUAGUAAUCGCAAAUCAGCCAUGUUGCGGUGAAUACGUUCCCGGGUCUUGUACUCACCGCCCGUCACACCAUGGGAGUUGUGUUUGCCUUAAGUCAGGAUGCUAAAGCAGCUACUGCCCACGGCACACACAGCGACUGGGGUGAAGUCGUAACAAGGUAACCGUAGGUGAACCUGCGGUUGGAUCACCUCCUU
rnacentral:rRNA from 1 species